CCUACGGGGGGCAGCAGUGAGGAAUAUUGGUCAAUGGGCUUACGCCUGAACCAGCCAAGUCGCGUGAGGGAAGACUGCCCUAUGGGUUGUAAACCUCUUUUGUCAGGGAGCAACGCCGGCUACGUGUAGCCGGACUGAGAGUACCUGAAGAAAAAGCAUCGGCUAACUACGUGCCAGCAGCCGCGGUAAUACGUAGGGGGCAAGCGUUAUCCGGAAUUACUGGGUGUAAAGGGAGCGUAGACGGCUGUGCAAGUCUGGAGUGAAAGGCGGGGGCCCAACCCCCGGACUGCUCUGGAAACUGUAUGGCUGGAGUGCAGGAGAGGUAAGCGGAAUUCCUAGUGUAGCGGUGAAAUGCGUAGAUAUUAGGAGGAACACCAGUGGCGAAGGCGGCUUACUGGACUGUAACUGACGUUGAGGCUCGAAAGCGUGGGGAGCAAACAGGAUUAGAUACCCCUGUAGUC
rnacentral:rRNA from 1 species